GGGUUGUGAGGUUAAGCGACUAAGCGUACACGGUGGAUGCCCUGGCAGUCAGAGGCGAUGAAGGACGUGCUAAUCUGCGAUAAGCGUCGGUAAGGUGAUAUGAACCGUUAUAACCGGCGAUUUCCGAAUGGGGAAACCCAGUGUGUUUCGACACACUAUCAUUAACUGAAUCCAUAGGUUAAUGAGGCGAACCGGGGGAACUGAAACAUCUAAGUACCCCGAGGAAAAGAAAUCAACCGAGAUUCCCCCAGUAGCGGCGAGCGAACGGGGAGCAGCCCAGAGCCUGAAUCAGUGUGUGUGUUAGUGGAAGCGUCUGGAAAGGCGCGCGAUACAGGGUGACAGCCCCGUACACAAAAAUGCACAUGCUGUGAGCUCGAUGAGUAGGGCGGGACACGUGGUAUCCUGUCUGAAUAUGGGGGGACCAUCCUCCAAGGCUAAAUACUCCUGACUGACCGAUAGUGAACCAGUACCGUGAGGGAAAGGCGAAAAGAACCCCGGCGAGGGGAGUGAAAAAGAACCUGAAACCGUGUACGUACAAGCAGUGGGAGCACGCUUAGGCGUGUGACUGCGUACCUUUUGUAUAAUGGGUCAGCGACUUAUAUUCUGUAGCAAGGUUAACCGAAUAGGGGAGCCGAAGGGAAACCGAGUCUUAACUGGGCGUUAAGUUGCAGGGUAUAGACCCGAAACCCGGUGAUCUAGCCAUGGGCAGGUUGAAGGUUGGGUAACACUAACUGGAGGACCGAACCGACUAAUGUUGAAAAAUUAGCGGAUGACUUGUGGCUGGGGGUGAAAGGCCAAUCAAACCGGGAGAUAGCUGGUUCUCCCCGAAAGCUAUUUAGGUAGCGCCUCGUGAAUUCAUCUCCGGGGGUAGAGCACUGUUUCGGCAAGGGGGUCAUCCCGACUUACCAACCCGAUGCAAACUGCGAAUACCGGAGAAUGUUAUCACGGGAGACACACGGCGGGUGCUAACGUCCGUCGUGAAGAGGGAAACAACCCAGACCGCCAGCUAAGGUCCCAAAGUCAUGGUUAAGUGGGAAACGAUGUGGGAAGGCCCAGACAGCCAGGAUGUUGGCUUAGAAGCAGCCAUCAUUUAAAGAAAGCGUAAUAGCUCACUGGUCGAGUCGGCCUGCGCGGAAGAUGUAACGGGGCUAAACCAUGCACCGAAGCUGCGGCAGCGACGCUUAUGCGUUGUUGGGUAGGGGAGCGUUCUGUAAGCCUGCGAAGGUGUGCUGUGAGGCAUGCUGGAGGUAUCAGAAGUGCGAAUGCUGACAUAAGUAACGAUAAAGCGGGUGAAAAGCCCGCUCGCCGGAAGACCAAGGGUUCCUGUCCAACGUUAAUCGGGGCAGGGUGAGUCGACCCCUAAGGCGAGGCCGAAAGGCGUAGUCGAUGGGAAACAGGUUAAUAUUCCUGUACUUGGUGUUACUGCGAAGGGGGGACGGAGAAGGCUAUGUUGGCCGGGCGACGGUUGUCCCGGUUUAAGCGUGUAGGCUGGUUUUCCAGGCAAAUCCGGAAAAUCAAGGCUGAGGCGUGAUGACGAGGCACUACGGUGCUGAAGCAACAAAUGCCCUGCUUCCAGGAAAAGCCUCUAAGCAUCAGGUAACAUCAAAUCGUACCCCAAACCGACACAGGUGGUCAGGUAGAGAAUACCAAGGCGCUUGAGAGAACUCGGGUGAAGGAACUAGGCAAAAUGGUGCCGUAACUUCGGGAGAAGGCACGCUGAUAUGUAGGUGAAGCGACUUGCUCGUGGAGCUGAAAUCAGUCGAAGAUACCAGCUGGCUGCAACUGUUUAUUAAAAACACAGCACUGUGCAAACACGAAAGUGGACGUAUACGGUGUGACGCCUGCCCGGUGCCGGAAGGUUAAUUGAUGGGGUUAGCGCAAGCGAAGCUCUUGAUCGAAGCCCCGGUAAACGGCGGCCGUAACUAUAACGGUCCUAAGGUAGCGAAAUUCCUUGUCGGGUAAGUUCCGACCUGCACGAAUGGCGUAAUGAUGGCCAGGCUGUCUCCACCCGAGACUCAGUGAAAUUGAACUCGCUGUGAAGAUGCAGUGUACCCGCGGCAAGACGGAAAGACCCCGUGAACCUUUACUAUAGCUUGACACUGAACAUUGAGCCUUGAUGUGUAGGAUAGGUGGGAGGCUUUGAAGUGUGGACGCCAGUCUGCAUGGAGCCGACCUUGAAAUACCACCCUUUAAUGUUUGAUGUUCUAACGUUGACCCGUAAUCCGGGUUGCGGACAGUGUCUGGUGGGUAGUUUGACUGGGGCGGUCUCCUCCUAAAGAGUAACGGAGGAGCACGAAGGUUGGCUAAUCCUGGUCGGACAUCAGGAGGUUAGUGCAAUGGCAUAAGCCAGCUUGACUGCGAGCGUGACGGCGCGAGCAGGUGCGAAAGCAGGUCAUAGUGAUCCGGUGGUUCUGAAUGGAAGGGCCAUCGCUCAACGGAUAAAAGGUACUCCGGGGAUAACAGGCUGAUACCGCCCAAGAGUUCAUAUCGACGGCGGUGUUUGGCACCUCGAUGUCGGCUCAUCACAUCCUGGGGCUGAAGUAGGUCCCAAGGGUAUGGCUGUUCGCCAUUUAAAGUGGUACGCGAGCUGGGUUUAGAACGUCGUGAGACAGUUCGGUCCCUAUCUGCCGUGGGCGCUGGAGAACUGAGGGGGGCUGCUCCUAGUACGAGAGGACCGGAGUGGACGCAUCACUGGUGUUCGGGUUGUCAUGCCAAUGGCACUGCCCGGUAGCUAAAUGCGGAAGAGAUAAGUGCUGAAAGCAUCUAAGCACGAAACUUGCCCCGAGAUGAGUUCUCCCUGACCCUUUAAGGGUCCUGAAGGAACGUUGAAGACGACGACGUUGAUAGGCCGGGUGUGUAAGCGCAGCGAUGCGUUGAGCUAACCGGUACUAAUGAACCGUGAGGCUUAACCUUACAACGCCGAAGCUGUU
rnacentral:rRNA from 3 species